GCGUGAGAAUCUGCCCUCAGGAGGGGGAUAACGACUGGAAACGGUCGCUAAUACCCCAUAUGCCGAGAGGUGAAAUGAAUUUCGCCUGAGGAUGAGCUCGCGUCUGAUUAGCUAGUUGGUGGGGUAAAGGCCUACCAAGGCGACGAUCAGUAGCUGGUCUGAGAGGAUGAUCAGCCACACUGGGACUGAGACACGGCCCAGACUCCUACGGGAGGCAGCAGUGGGGAAUUUUCCGCAAUGGGCGAAAGCCUGACGGAGCAACGCCGCGUGAGGGAUGAAGGCCUCUGGGCUGUAAACCUCUUUUCUUAAGGAAGAAGAUCUGACGGUACUUGAGGAAUAAGCCACGGCUAAUUCCGUGCCAGCAGCCGCGGUAAUACGGGAGUGGCAAGCGUUAUCCGGAAUCAUUGGGCGUAAAGCGUCCGCAGGCGGCCUUGUAAGUCUGUCGUUAAAGCGUGGAGCUGAACUCCAUUUCAGCGAUGGAAACUACAAGGCUUGAGUGUGGUAGGG
rnacentral:rRNA from 1 species